CCACGCCCAGGAAACCGGAAGGGCUCUUUUCCGCCGGAAGGACUGAGUCCUUGCGGAGAGCAUCGGACCUCAAAGGAGCUGUAUAAUUCCAGGCACAGGGAACACAAACAGAUGUCCAGUUUGUCUUGUUUUCAUCCAGUUGCAUUUCUUUUUCUUAAGAGGUAUAUGAGCUCCCUGAAAAUACAAAGCACUUGUUUCCAUGUUCUGAUCAUUCAGAGAUUAUGAAGGCACAGUGCCUACCUUUGGUUUGCUUGCAGUGAGGUGGAGCAGGCACAGAUUUAUCAGCAGGUUGCAGGUGAACAUGGCCUUGAGGUAAACCCUGCCCCUUAUUGAAAUUUAGUUUCAGCAGAUUAUUCAUGGUAUUUUAAGGAAUUUGAAUAUUUCACAAAAAAACAAAAGUUCCAUUUGGUUCUGUUCUAGACUUAUUUUUUCUUCUAAAUAAAUGAGAAAGAUGUUUCCACAAAGGUUCUUUAUGCUGAAUAAUUGCGAUGCUUGGUCAUCUGCCUUGUGUAAGUGGAUUUUAAAUGUCAAAGACAAUUCUAGACACUUCUUUCUUGGUCAAAUAAAAAUCUUACCAAAACCUUA